AAACUUUUGAUGGCGACCGGCGCACGGGUGAGUAACACGUAUCCAACCUGCCUCGAUACUCGGGGAUAGCCUUUCGAAAGAAAGAUUAAUACCCGAUGUCAUAGUCCUACCGCAUGAUGGGAUUAUUAAAGAAUUUCGGUAUGGGAUGGGGAUGCGUUCCAUUAGUUAGUUGGCGGGGUAACGGCCCACCAAGACAACGAUGGAUAGGGGUUCUGAGAGGAAGGUCCCCCACAUUGGAACUGAGACACGGUCCAAACUCCUACGGAAGGCAGCAG
rnacentral:rRNA from 1 species